GUGAGCCUUAAAAGCCCCAAAUUGAAAAUAGCCUAAAGAUGUGAAGAAUCGCAGCACCGCAGUCCAAAAGCAGCCAGCUAGCUGAGGUAUUUAGGGAGAACCAUUGCAACAUACAGCGUGGCCCAGUGGCAGGGGCAGGGGUGAAUGAAGGACCUACCUGAUGGCAAGGCUGAAAAGCUGUGUUAAGAAGGAAAGAGGCACGAAAGGCUGGGGCAGAGGAGGGAAAGGGAAAGAUGCGGCCAAGGAGAAGCUCUGUGGUCGGGGAGGCUGUGGGCAGAGCAGCCUGGUCCCUGUUCCCAUCAGAUAGCCCAGCCAGCGGGCUGGUGACUCACUGGGAUUUGCUGGGAGGGAGCUGAAUGCUGCACACUGCCAGGAGAGGAGCAGAGCGAACCCGGGGCACUGCCAGCCUCUGGGCAACCCCUCCUGGCAGCCCCACUGGCCCCGGGGAGCAAAGACAUCUGCAAAGGAAGAGAAAGUGAGGAGGUGGGGAGCACUGGCAUUUGCCCAGUUUUACCUUUAUAGGAUAAAACAAAUUUAAGAAAUCCCAGCUUAAAAUCAUGGGGUGUAGCCUGGCAAACUUAACAGGAAAGGGCAAGGAGCAAAUUAUUUAAGGCAGUGAUGGCAGUGUCUCCCACACACCCUUACGCUCCCUUACGGAUCUGGGUGUUAUUGGGCCAAAUAAUUCAAAUUAAACCUCAAGUGCCCACCUCAAACCCCUGCCAUUGGGCUUUUCUUCAAAAUAGGGAGAGCAGGUCAGAAGGUUUGCUGGCUGGAAGCCUCCAAACACUGGAAGAGCUCAGACAUUUAUGAGUGCACUCGAGUGCACUAAUGAACUGUGACAGUGGUGGUGGAAGCAGGGGUGAACACCGCUGUAGCUUUCACACCACUCCUUCUGGAAAAUGUGCAGAGAAAGUACAAGGGAAAUUGAGGGGAGUUCACAGCCAUUUCUCAGGAUUAUUUCACAACUAUUCGAUGUAUCUACUGGUUACAGCAUGAAGGGUUUGGCUUCAAUAGGCUACAGAGUUUUGACGACUCUGCAUUGACUUCUACAAUCAGUUUCAGGAGAAACAAAAAAAAUAGGGAAAGAACUUUACUUUUUUAUUAUAUUUUAUAAGGUUCUGCAGAAAGGUAAAGUUACUCACUAAUCUUGUCCUGACCGUAGGCAAAACCACAAUGUUCCUAUUCCCAGUUUAAUCAAGAGUUCACACGUUUUUAUAAAGGAUUUAGAUUAAUCAAUCCGUAAACACUCAGACCUAAUUUCUGGACAGCCUUUGCAUUUUGAACCUGCCUCUGCCAUAAUAAGUGAACUUACUCUCUCCCUGUUCAACCAGAGGAGAGAAUACCCCAAAUUUCCUUUAGAAGAUCCAAAAUGGAAAAAAUACUUCCUCCACAGGCAAAGGGCUCUACUGCCAUGCUGAGGUCUAUCUACAUUCCAUUAAUAUUUUUUUUUCACCUUAGUCCCAUGAUCACUUUUAUAUGGUACUUGUUUCCCAAAAAAUGCUCUGAUUCUCACUCCAUAGUUUCCUGAAUUGCAUAGCCCAGAUUCACUGCUGGCAUAAUGGUACAAUGACACUGAACUCAGAAAAUGCCUCCUGGAAAGAUGCUCAGCUAAGCAUCCCACAUGCCACAGCAGUCCCUAGCCCAUCCCUCAGUGGACCCCUGGCUCGCUACAGUGUGCCCUGGAAGCAUCAUGUUUGUCACGCAGCCGAGGAGGAGAUGUAAAGAUCAGUUUUAGAUCAGGGUCUCACGUGAAGUAAUCUAGGUCAAUACAGGAGAUGUAAGCAGACAGUCUGACACACGAAGAGGAUGGGGUGCUCUCCUCACAUUUCCAGGGGAUGAACUGAGCACAAUGCAUGGACAAUUGGCUCUAAAUAGCCAAGUGACAUUUAAACAAGCAUAACGGCUGCAGGUAUGUUGUGCAAACUAACCUCCCUCUAACCUGCAGUCCUUAUGUUAUUAGCACAGACAAUAAUUUAAAAAGCAUUGUUUCGUGGCGUGAUUCCUGUGCCUGCUUCUCCCCACUGCCUUGCUUAGUGUCUGCAUUAACCUCAUUCUAUAAGUCCCAGGACCUCCAACUCUUACAGCUGAAUUCAUAAAAAAUGUAAGCCCUCACUAUGCGGGAUUUUUGCCUGCUUCCUUCCAAGUGCAUGUUUUUCUGACUCAUUGAACCUGGCUUCCCCAGCUUGUGUUACAGCAGGUUGCAUUAGCUACAAUAGGCACCCAUGGAAAUGGAUUGAUUAAGAAAAAAACGAGGGAAAAAAA